GAAAUGCGAUAAGUAAUGUGAAUUGCAGAAUUCAGUGAAUCAUCGAAUCUUUGAACGCACCUUGCGCUCCUUGGUAUUCCUUGGAGCAUGCCUGUUUGAGUAUCAUGAAAUCUUCAAAGUAAAUCUUUUGUUAACUCAAUUGGUUUCUACUUUGGUAUUGGAGGUCUUUGCAGCUUCACACCUGCUACUCUUUGUUCAUUAGCUGGAUCUCAGUGUUAUGCUUGGUUCCACUCGGCGUGAUAAGUUAUCUAUCGCUGAGGACACUGUAAAAGGUGGCCAAGGUAAAUGCAGAUGAACCUCUUCUAAUAGUCCAUUUACUUGGAAAAUACUUUUAUGAUCUGAUCUCAAAUCAGGUAGGACUACCCGCUGAACUUAAGC
rnacentral:misc_RNA from 1 species